rnacentral:rRNA from 1 species
GAUUAUGGCUCAGGAUGAACGCUAGCGACAGGCUUAACACAUGCAAGUCGAGGGCAGCAUAAAAGUAGCAAUACUUGGUGGCGACCGGCGCACGGGUGAGUAACGCGUAUGCAACCUACCUAUCAGAGGGGAAUAACCCGGCGAAAGUCGGACUAAUACCGCAUAAAACAGGGGCACCGCAUGGUGAUAUUUGUUAAAGAAAUUCGCUGAUAGGUGGGCAUGCGUUCCAUUAGGUAGUUGGUGAGGUAACGGCUCACCAAGCCGACGAUGGAUAGGGGAACUGAGAGGUUGGUCCCCCACACUGGUACUGAGACACGGACCAGACUCCUACGGGAGGCAGCAGUGAGGAAUAUUGGUCAAUGGGCGGGAGCCUGAACCAGCCAAGUCGCGUGAAGGAAGAAGGAUCUAUGGUUCGUAAACUUCUUUUGCAGGGGAAUAAAGUGCAGGACGUGUCCUGUUUUGUAUGUACCCUGAGAAUAGGGAUCGGCUAACUCCGUGCCAGCCGCGGC